GAUGAACGCUAGCGGGAGGCCUAGCACAUGCAAGCUGAGCGGUAGAGUUUCUUCGGAGACUUGAGAGCGGCGUACGGGUGCGGAACACGUGUGCAACCUGCCUUUAUCAGGGGGAUAGCCUUUCGAAAGGAAGAUUAAUACCCCAUAAUAUAUAGAGUGGCAUCACUUUAUAUUGAAAACUGAGGUGGAUAAAGAUGGGCACGCGCAAGAUUAGAUAGUUGGUGAGGUAACGGCUCACUAAGUCGAUGAUCUUUAGGGGGCCUGAGAGGGUGGGCACCCUCACUGGUACUUGGACCACGAGCAGACUCCUACGGGAGGAAUCAGUGAGGAAUAUUGGACAAUGGGUUAGCGCCUAAUCCAGCCAUCCCGCGUGAAGGACGACGGCCCUAUGGGUUGUAAACUUCUUUUGUACAGGGAUAAACCUAUUGACGUGUAAAUAGCUGAAGUUACUGCACGAAUAAGCACCGGCUAACUCCGUGCCAGCCGCCGCAGUAA
rnacentral:rRNA from 1 species